AUACUCUAGUUUCUCUUCAAAUCAUAUAAAUCUUUCGCCUUUUACUAAAGAUUUCUGUGGAGAGGAACAAUUCUGAGUCUUAAUCCAAUUUUUUUUGAGGCCCUGUUUCUGUGGGGCU
ensembl:snRNA U5 U5 spliceosomal RNA